rnacentral:lncRNA from 8 species
ACCCAGCCUCGCCAGUCAACAGUCUUCAUCAGAGCUGCCCGCCAGUCAACAGUCUUCAUCAGAGCUGCCCGCCAGUCAACAGUCUUCAUCAGAGCUGCCCGCCAGUCAACAGUCAUCGUCAGAGCUGCCCGCCAGUCAACAGUCAUCGUCGGAGCUGCCCGCCAGUCAACAGUCAUCGUCGGAGCUGCCCGCCAGUCAACAGUCAUCGUCGGAGCUGCCCGCCAGUCAACAGUCAUCGUCGGAGCUGCCCGCCAGUCAACAGUCAUCGUCAGAGCUGCCCGCCAGUCAACAGUCAUCGUCAGAGCUGCCCGCCAGUCAACAGUCAUCGUCAGAGCUGCCCGCCAGUCAACAGUCAUCGUCAGAGCUGCCCGCCAGUCAACAGUCGCCAGAGCUGCCCGCCAGUCAACAGUCGCCAGAGAGGUCAGACUGCGCUGAACUGCCGGAGUGGCCAGACUGCGCUGAACUGCCGGAGUGGCCAGACUGCGCUGAACUGCCGGAGUGGCCAGACUGCGCUGAACUGCCGGAGUGGCCAGACUGCCCUGAACUGCCGGAGUGGCCAGACUGCCCUGAACUGCCGGAGUGGCCAGACUGCCCUGAACUGCCGGAGUGGCCAGACUGCCCAGACGGUCCCGAGUUGCCAGACUGUCCCGAGUUGCCAGACUGCCCAGACUGUCCCGAGUUGCCAGACUGCCCAGACUGUCCCGAGUUGCCAGACUGCCCAGACUGUCCCGAGUUGCCAGACUGCCCAGACUGUCCCGAGUUGCCAGACUGCCCAGACUGUCCCGAGUUGCCAGACUGCCCAGACUGUCCCGAGUUGCCAGACUGCCCAGACUGUCCCGAGUUGCCAGACUGCCCAGACUGUCCCGAGUUGCCAGACUGCCCAGACUGUCCCGAGUUGCCAGACUGCCCAGACUGUCCCGAGCUGCCAGACUGCCCAGACUGCACAGACUGUCCCGAGCUGCCAGACUGCCUAUGCUUUGCCAGACUGUUGGUUGUUCGUUCAUUCUCGUGAGUUCUUUGUUAUUUUGGGUGUUCAUUUUUUGAAGUUAAUAAAUUCUCAAGAUGAGCAUACACGUACCUGCUGCGUAUUGGUCCUCCUUCACCGACGACAACCGUGACACCCAUGGUGUUUAUACUUGCUUACUAUUGUUUGUACAGAUGAACGUGGUACCUUCAGGUGUUUGAAAAUUGCUCCCAAGCAUGAACCAGACUUGUGGAGGUCUACAAUUUGUUUUCUGAGGUCUUGGCUGUUUUCUUUUGAUUUUCCCAUGAUGUCAAGCAUAGAG